CAAGUGGAACAUCCGAAAAGCUACAAGGCCUAAAAGGUGACUUUAUUGCAUAAACACAGCACAGAGGCGCAGACCAUCACUCACUCGGCCUCUACUUCCACUCCAUCCUCCGCCUACUCUACAACUUCACUUUAAAACUCACCCGAAAAAAAAUCGAUAGACAAACAUCCAAGUCUUCUCUUCCAGACCGCUGCCACCCGCCACAUCCACCGACGUCGGCAACAAAGUCCACACACUGCCAUCAUUCAUCCUCUGCGCCUCCAUCCUCCUUCAUGCUCCAUCUUUGUUGGCGUCGUCUCCCUCUUCUCGUCGGCUCUCUCAUCCUCACCUCUCUCUCUCUUUCUCUCUAUUCAGGCCAAUAACGGUGAAGGAGACGACCUUGCCAGCCUCCAACUUUGAGGUGGCUGACUUCAGAUUUAGAGGCCAAUCUCUCCCUCCCUCCCCAUUGCGAGGUCACCUCAUCAUUUCUCUGUUUUCAGUUCUCUCUAUCUCUCUCAAAUCCCAAUUUGGGAAUUUCAGUUGAGACCCAGAUGCUGAUUUGAGGUAAUUUCUCUCUUGUAGGCACUGUUACUUUACAUUUGAAUGGUGAAUUAGUCAUUUUAGCUUGGGAAUGAAUUGUUUGGGUUUAUUGAUUAAUGGUGCGUUUUUCUUAUAAGAAUCUAUCUGAUUUGAUUUGGGUUUUGCUUCUGUUAUAUUGUCAAUCACAAAAUUGGUGAAGUUGUAAAAGAUGUAGCUUGCCCGUUUUUUAUUUUAUUUUGUAUUUUCUUAUUCUGUCAUAAUUUUCUGGUAACCGAACCGAUUCCACCCCAAUUUAUAGAAUUGAGGGUUAGGUUCCGUUUCGUUUUUCCCCCCCUUCUCUUCUCUUCAUUAACUUAGUCCUACAAGUUCUAUGUCAGCCAUGGAAUUAAUCGUUUCUUCCAUUAAACAAAAGCUCUAUCACCUUCCAUUUAAAAAAAAAAUGUUCAGUUUGGAGGUUUAGUCGGCCUGAACAAACAAUUCUGGCUCCGGUCAUGUUUACUUUCAAGUGUCAAAGUAGGUGGGGAAGCAGUGCACAGGUUGUCAACAAUGAUAGUUAGCACAAAGAAUUAUCCCUCAUAUUUUCAAGACACUGCUCCACUAAAUAAUGCAAAUACAUCCCACCAGUUGGAACUGCUAAUGAAAGUGUUCCACAAUUUUCAAACACAUUUUGUAACCUGUGCACCGCUUACCUGCCUACUGUGCGAAACAAUCGUGUUGCACUUGCAUUGUUUUCCUGGGAUGAGUCAGGGUCUUAAUUGCAAGUUAAGGAAUGUGAGUUCUUUUAUUUUUCAGUCUAGAUAUAUAAUCAAUUGAAUGAACCAUGUCCAUUCAAUAAGUGUUUUAAAUUCUAUUUCGAAGAAUGUGUUGUACACCAAAGCUUGACCCAGGAGAUACCUUGUCAUAAGUUUUUGUGUAACGUAUUACACAUCUAGAUUGUCAUAGUUGAAAAGAGAUCACCACAAGUACAAGACGUUAUGCUUCAGUUUUGGAUAUGAUGCCUCUAGUUUUGUUUCUCUCUUCUGCUUCUUCGUGUUUUGGUUCUGUUCUGUUUUUGUUAUAUUUAAAGUUAGC